GAUGAAGAACGUAUUGAAAUGCGAUAAGUAAUGUGAAUUGCAGAAUUCAGUGAAUCAUCGAAUCUUUGAACGCACAUUGCGCCCCCUGGUAUUCCGGGGGGCAUGCCUGUUCGAGCGUCAUUUCAACCCUCAAGCUCUGCUUGGUAUUGGGCGUCGCCGGGGAGUCUCCCCGGCGUGCCUCAAAGCCAUCGGCGGUGGUGCCUUUCUCUAAGCGUGGUAGAAUUUUUAUUCGCUUCUGAGUUGGGCUUCGCCUGCCGGACAAACCGGGCCCUCGCGGCCCACCUUCUCAGGUUGACCUCGGAUCAGGUAGGGAUACCCGCUGAACUUAAGCAUAUCAAUAAGCGGAGGA
rnacentral:misc_RNA from 1 species